rnacentral:rRNA from 1 species
CGGUCAAAAGGGGGCGUGUGUUGGGUGUUGGGGAGGGGUUGGGUGGUGGCCGCCGCCGCGUCGCGCUCCUUCUCCUUCGCUUCUACCACUUCAAGGACUUCGGCCCGUUCCGCCACUAGGACGACGUCCCUUCCAUGCGGCCCUUCUUCCGCCACUAGCACGCGCACAAGCUCCUCCCGUGGGCGCUGGCGGGGAUGCCCGUGACGGAGCAGCGGCCGGACCGGUUCAUGGGCUUCUUCCACUAGGCGUUCCUGAGCCGGUUUUUCUGCCGGUUCUUCAGGGCGCAGUUCCACAAGGAGUUCGAGCAGUUGAAGUGGGUGGAGUACGGGUGGGCGAUGUGGGAGCUGCAGCUGGAGUUCCUCCACCGGAGGCCGCGCGGGCUGAGGGAGUGGAGGUUCCUGUUCUUCCACCCGCGGCGGUUCCGGCGGUUCCGGUUCGAGCUCCUCGCCAAGUUCUGGCCGUUCUUGUCCACCAAGAAGUGGUUCGAGGCGAAGAUCCGGUAGGCAAACUGGCCAGCGCGUCCCAACAGAGACGGCAAUGAUGAUGGGCUUGGGAAAUGUAAAAAUCAACGAACAAUAGCCACUGACAACGACGCGAAUUCUACAGGACAAAACCAUAACGGGUACUUCUUCUGAGACAAAUCACACCUAGAAUACUCUAUACUACUACAAAGUACACAACUUAGUACACUUCUUAUCUAGAAACAACCUUAAAACAACUCGCAAUAAUGAAGAACUCUAUACGACAGACAACGCAGG